UACGUAGGAGGCAAGCGUUGUCCGGAAUUACUGGGCGUAAAGCGUGCGCAGGCGGUUCGUUGUGUCGGUGGUGAAAGCCCCGGGCUCAACCUGGGAAUGGCCAUGGAAACUGGCGAACUGGAGUGCGGCAGAGGGGGGUGGAAUUCCGCGUGUAGCAGUGAAAUGCGUAGAGAUGCGGAGGAACACCGAUGGCGAAGGCAGCCCCCUGGGCUAGCACUGACGCUCAGGCACGAAAGCGUGGGGAGCAAACAGG
rnacentral:rRNA from 1 species